UCUAACUCCCCAAGUGAGGAUACUGCGGAAGUCCAAUCGAUCCUUCAGGAGUUUCGAGAUGUCUUUCCGGCAGACCUACCUGAUCAUCUACCUCCGCUAAGGGAUAUUCAACAUGCCAUAGAUUUCGUCCCCGGUGCAUCCCUUCCAAAUUUGCCACAUUAUAGGAUGAAUCCUACCGAGCACGCUGAGCUCCAAAGGCAAGUAGAUGACCUUCUCAACAAAGGAUUCAUUCGUGAGAGUUUAAGCCCAUGUGCUGUCCCCGCCCUAUUGACGCCCAAAAAGGAUGGAUCUUGGAGAAUGUGUGUGGAUAGUCGCGCUAUCAAUAGGAUCACGGUGAAGUAUCGUUUUCCCAUUCCCAGGCUUGAUGAUAUGCUGGAUAUGAUGGUUGGCGCGACAAUCUUUUCAAAGAUCGAUCUAAAGAGUGGGUACCAUCAAAUUAGAAUUCGCCCAGGGGACGAGUGGAAGACCGCGUUUAAGACGAAAGAUGGCCUUUAUGAAUGGCUGGUCAUGCCUUUUGGGCUAAGUAAUGCGCCGAGUACCUUCAUGCGGGUAAUGACACAAACUCUUCGGCCGUUCAUGGGUAAAUUUCUUGUUGUCUACUUUGAUGAUAUCCUCAUCUAUAGUAAAACUAAGGAGCAACACCGUGACCACCUCAAACAAGUUUGCUCUACCCUUCGCGAGACUAACCUGUAUGCUAAUGUCAAGAAAUGUUCCUUUUUCACCGAUAGCGUAGUUUUUCUAGGGUUCAUUGUCUCGUCGACAGGGGUGUCUGCUGACCCUACUAAGAUUCAGGCAAUAAUUGACUGGCCUGAGCCUAAGGCCAUUCAUGAUGUCAGGAGCUUUCACGGCUUAGCUACAUUUUACCGCCAUUUUAUUAAAGGGUUUAGCACUAUUAUGGCGCCUAUCAUGGAGUACAUGAAGAAAGGGGAGUUUCAUUGGACACGCGGGGCAGCGAAGGCCUUUAGGUUAAUCAAGGAGCGAAUGACAGAAGCUCCUGUCAUGCGUCUUCCCGAUUUUUCCAAAGUUUUUGAAGUUGAAUGUGACGCUUCUGGGGUAGGUAUAGGCGGAGUCUUAAGUCAGGAUCGUUACCCUGUCGCCUAUUUCAGUGAAAAGUUAAAUGAGGCCAAACGACGAUAUUCAACGUAUGAUAAGGAACUGUAUGCGGUGGUCCAGGCUUUGCGCUAUUGGCGCCACUACUUGUUGCCCCAAGAAUUCGUCCUUUAUUCGGACCACGAAGCCCUCCGUUACCUCAACUCUCAGAAGAGAUUAAGUUCUAGGCAUGGACGUUGGGUUGAAUAUUUGCAGGCCAAUUCGUUCGUUUUAAAACACAAGAAGGGCGUGGAGAACCAAGCAGCUGACGCGUUAAGUCGUCGUGUCUCCCUUUUGUCGAUCAUGAGUGUCAAAGUCAUUGAUUUUGAAAGGCUUAAGGAGGAUUACGAGGCGUGCCCAGAUUUUAAGGAUAUCUUUCUCAAUUUGCAAGGAGGACAAUCAAACAGCACAGAUGGCUUUCAACUUGAGAAGGGUUAUCUCUUCCGAGCCAAUAAAUUGUGCAUCCCUCGAACUUCAGUACGAGAUUUUAUAGUGUGGGAAGUUCACGCGGGAGGGUUAGCCGGUCACUUUGGGCGUGAUAAGACCAUUGAGGAGGUUGAACGCCAAUUCUAUUGGCCUAGUUUAAAGAGAGAUGUGGCUAAAAUUGUUAGUACAUGUAACACUUGUCAAUUGGCCAAACAGAAGAAGCAGAACACAGGCCUAUACACUCCUCUCCCCGUCCCCAAUUGUCCUUGGCAAGACGUUAGUAUGGAUUUUGUGCUAGGACUGCCACGCACCCCAAAGAAGCAUGAUUCUAUUUUCGUGGUUGUCGAUCGUUUCUCGAAAAUGGCUCACUUUAUCCCCUGUAGCAAAACAUCGGAUGCGUCCAAGGUUGCCAUAUUAUUCUUUAAUGAGAUUGUCAAACUGUAUGGGCUUCCCAAGACCAUUGUGUCCGAUAGGGACGUUCGCUUCACUAGCCAUUUUUGGAGGACUUUGUGGCAUAAGAUGGGUACCAAAUUAAAAUUUUCUACAGCCUACCACCCUCAAACUGACGAUCAGACCGAAGUUGUUAAUCGGAGUCUUGGUAACUUAUUACGUUGUCUGGUCCGGGAGAACCUUCGGAAUUGGGAUUUAAUCCUUCCUGUCGCUCAAAUCGCGUAUAAUAGCUCCGUAAAUCGUUCUUUAGGUAUGAGUCCAUUUGAAGCCGUUCACGGAUACAAGCCUAGGAAACCAUUAGAUCUCAUCCCUAUGUCCCCACAGGCUAGAGUGUCAGUAUCAGCCGAAGCAUUUGCACAACACCUUCGUGAUUUGCACAUUGAGAUCAAUAAACAACUUGAAGCUAGUAAUGUAAAUUAUAAACUACACGCUGAUUUACAUAAACGACACAUUGAGUUUAAUGUUGGGGAUUACGUUAUGGUUCGCAUUAGGCCAGAGCGGCGUCUACAUGGACCCGCCUCCAAAUUGCAAGCUCGUAGUGCUGGUCCUUUUAAAAUUUUAAAGCAAGUUGGUCCAAAUGCAUAUAUUGUCGACAUUCCAUCCCACAUUGGUUACCACCAUACUUUCAAUGUUGAAGACCUUGUAGCUUAUAAAGGCCAUUUCAUUCCCUCAGAUGAUCCCCUGUUACCUUCUUUUGUGGACCUUGAUCCUAAUUCUUUGGCCUCCAGUAAUCCACUACCACCUCCCACAGCACACAGAUAAAAUUGAUGCUAUUUUAAAUGAAGAAACUGUGUUCACUAAUGAUGGAGAGGUUCAGCGCUUCCUUGUUCGUUGGGUUGGUCGACCAGAUUCUGAUUGUGCAUGGAUCUCCAGGGAGACACUACAGCAUUUGGAUCCAGAUUUGCUAGAGCUUUAUCGGAGUCAGCAGGAUCUUCCUUGGCCCAGAUCGCCUCCCGUCCACCCGAGGGGAGUUGGUGAGGACACCAGGUUCAGACCGCCACUGACGCAUUUCUACAGACACAGGAAGAAGCUUGCCCAGCCACUCAGCUUAUGGUUGGGAGAUUGACAGAUGCCUAUGGUGAUAUAGCCACUCGACAGGGUCGAGUUUUCUCUCCCACCCCGGAAGAAUUGAUGAGGACAUCCAAUUUUAAUUAAUUUUAGCAAUUUUAAUUAUUUUAGUUGGAAUUUAGGUUAUUUUAAUUUUAUGGACUUUUGUAUUGG
rnacentral:lncRNA from 1 species